GAUUGUAGCCAUGUGGCAGAGGUUGUUGAGGGGUGGUGAAGCGGAUAUCAGUCUCUAAGGUGUUGAGGCUUGCAUGUGAUGGGCUUAAAGUUUGGCCCUGGUUUUUUUUGUUUUGUUUUUUUUAAAUGGCUGGCUGUAGCUGGAGUACUGGUAUUCCUAGAUGGAAUCAAGAUCUCUGGAGUUGUUAAGCUCUUGCUCUGCAUCCAGGCUGACUCGUUCAAUAUGGUUUUUUUUUUCAGAUGCGGAGAGACAAGAUGCUGUGCCCAGAGCGACGGAGGAGGGGAGCGGAGUGCCGUAAGGAGGUGCGAAGCAAGGAACGACGUGGGCUAUCGGCACCGGAGGUGACUCGGGCAAGGUGGUACACAGGCUUUGAUGUGGCAAGGCUGUCGAUGGCAGAGGCAGGGCAUGUGAGUGGCUGAGGUGGCACACGCAGCCUCGGAGGGGCGAAGCUGCAGGCUGAUGAGCAGUCUGAGAAGGUGCUGUGUGGGCUACCUUUGGAAUUGGAUGAGCGUUUGAGGUGAGCUGUGGAUUAGGGAGGAGGAGCAUGAGGCCGGUGACUUCUCAUGAGUGCCAUGCUAAUUUGGUG